AUGGUAGGAUAGAGGCCUACCAUGGUGGUAACGGGUAACGGGGUGUUAGGGCACGACACCGGAGAGGGAGCCUGAGAAACGGCUACCACAUCCAAGGAAGGCAGCAGGCGCGCAAAUUACCCAAUCCCGACACGGGGAGGUAGUGACAAUAAAUAACAAUACAGGGUUCUUUGAAUCUUGUAAUUGGAAUGAGUACAAUUUAAAUCUCUUAACGAGGAACAAUUGGAGGGCAAGUCUGGUGCCAGCAGCCGCGGUAAUUCCAGCUCCAAUAGCGUAUAUUAAAGUUGUUGCAGUUAAAAAGCUCGUAGUUGAAUUUCGGGAUCAAUACGUCGGUCGUGCUUUCGGGUACGUACUGGCGUCAUUGGUUUCUCCUUUCUGACGAACCAUGAUGUCAUUAAUUUGGUGUUAUGGGGAGUUAGGACUGUUACUUUGAAAAAAUUAGAGUGUUUAAAGCAGGCAUUAGCUUGAAUACAUUAGCAUGGAAUAAUGAAAUAGGACGUUCGAUCCUAUUUUGUUGGUUUCUAGGAUCAACGUAAUGAUUAAUAGGGAUAGUUGGGGGCAUUAGUAUUCAAUUGUCAGAGGUGAAAUUCUUGGAUUUAUUGAAGACUAACUACUGCGAAAGCAUUUGCCAAGGAUGUUUUCAUUAAUCAAGAACGAAAGUCAGGGGAUCGAAGACGAUCAGAUACCGUCGUAGUCUUAACCAUAAACUAUGCCGACUAGGGAUCGGAUGAUGUUAAUUUUUUAAUGACUCAUUCGGCGCCUUACGGGAAACCAAAGUGUUUGGG
rnacentral:rRNA from 1 species